CCUACGGGCGGCAGCAGUGGGGAAUAUUGGACAAUAGGGGGAACCCUGAUCCAGCCAUGCCGCGUGUGUGAAGAAGGCCCUCGGGUUGUAAAGCACUUUCAGUGAGGAAGAACGCCUGGUGGUUAAUACCCAUCAGGAAAGACAUCACUCACAGAAGAAGCACCGGCUAACUCCGUGCCAGCAGCCGCGGUAAUACGGAGGGUGCGAGCGUUAAUCGGAAUUACUGGGCGUAAAGCGCGCGUAGGUGGCUUGAUAAGCCGGUUGUGAAAGCCCCGGGCUCAACCUGGGAACGGCAUCCGGAACUGUCAAGCUAGAGUGCAGGAGAGGAAGGUAGAAUUCCCGGUGUAGCGGUGAAAUGCGUAGAGAUCGGGAGGAAUACCAGUGGCGAAGGCGGCCUUCUGGACUGACACUGACACUGAGGUGCGAAAGCGUGGGUAGCAAACAGGAUUAGAUACCCGAGUAGUC
rnacentral:rRNA from 1 species